AUUUAAAUAGUUUAAUUUAAAAAUUUUGAUUUGUGGUGUCAAAGAUAUGUUAUAAUCAUUUUAAAUA
rnacentral:tRNA from 2 species